UACGAAGGGGGCUAGCGUUGCUCGGAAUCACUGGGCGUAAAGCGCACGUAGGCGGAUUGUUAAGUCAGGGGUGAAAUCCUGGAGCUCAACUCCAGAACUGCCUUUGAUACUGGCGAUCUUGAGUCCGGGAGAGGUGAGUGGAACUCCGAGUGUAGAGGUGAAAUUCGUAGAUAUUCGGAAGAACACCAGUGGCGAAGGCGGCUCACUGGCCCGGUACUGACGCUGAGGCGCGAAAGCGUGGGGAGUAAACAGG
rnacentral:rRNA from 1 species